rnacentral:rRNA from 1 species
UACGUAGGGUGCAAGCGUUGUCCGGAAUUAUUGGGCGUAAAGAGCUCGUAGGCGGUCUGUUGCGUCGGCUGUGAAAACCUGGGGCUUAACUCCGGGCCUGCAGCCGAUACGGGCAGACUAGAGUUCGGCAGGGGAGACUGGAAUUCCUGGUGUAGCGGUGAAAUGCGCAGAUAUCGGGAAGAACACCCGUGGCGAAGGCGGCUCUCUGGGACGGUACUGACGCUGAGACGCGAAAGCGAGGGGAGCGAACAGG